CAGCCGCCACGGUAAUACGGAGGGUGCAAGCGUUAAUCGGAAUUACUGGGCGUAAAGCGUGCGUAGGCGGUUCGUUAAGUCUGUUGUGAAAGCCCCGGGCUCAACCUGGGAAUGGCAAUGGAUACUGGCGAGCUAGAGUGUGUCAGAGGAUGGUGGAAUUCCCGGUGUAGCGGUGAAAUGCAUAGAGAUGUGGAGGAACACCAGUGGCGAAGGCGACUCUCUGGUCUGUAACUGACGCUGAGGAGCGAAAGCGUGGGGAGCGAACAGGAUUAGAUACCCCCGUAGUCCCUGUCUCUUAUAC
rnacentral:rRNA from 1 species